UACGGGGGGGGCAAGCGUUGUUCGGAAUUACUGGGCGUAAAGGGUUCGUAGGUGGCCUACUAAGUCAGACGUGAAAUCCCUCGGCUCAACCGGGGAACUGCGUCUGAGACUGGAAGGCUUGAGUGCAGGAGAGGAACGCGGAAUUCCAGGUGUAGCGGUGAAAUGCGUAGAUAUCUGGAGGAACACCGGUGGCGAAGGCGGCGUUCUGGACUGCAACUGACGCUGAGGCGCGAAAGCGUGGGGAGCAAACAGG
rnacentral:rRNA from 1 species